UACGUAGGGGGCAAGCGUUGUCCGGAUUUAUUGGGCGUAAAGAGCGUGUAGGCGGCCAGGUAGGUCCGUUGUGAAAACUGGAGGCUUAACCUCCAGCUGUCGAUGGAAACCAUCUGGCUAGAGUCCGGAAGAGGAGAGUGGAAUUCCUGGUGUAGCGGUGAAAUGCGCAGAUAUCAGGAGGAACACCGGUGGCGAAGGCGCCACUCUGGGCCGAAACUGACGCUGAGGAGCGAAAGCGUGGGUAGCAAACAGG
rnacentral:rRNA from 1 species